rnacentral:rRNA from 1 species
AAUUAAGAGAACAUGAUGUUGGUUCAGAUCUAAUGCUAUGUAGAGACAUAACACAUGCAAGUUAAUAAAAUAAAGCGUUAAGGUGAGUUUUAUAAGAUAAUAAAAAAUCUUAUACAGAUGUAGGUAAUAGAUAAAAAAAUCUAGCCAUGGAACUGGAGCCGACGAUAAGCGUCACAACGGCCACAUUGAUAAAAAAAAUCAACUCUUAUAAAGAGCAGCAGUGGGGAAUCUUUGACAAUGGUCUAACGACUGAUCAAGUUAUCUACGAGAAAAAUAUUAAAAAUAAAAAACUAAUAAAAGAUUAACUAUAAAUUUCUAAAUAAUAGUAAUAAUGAUACUAAUUAUGAAAGAGUCCUAACUAAAAUAUGUGCCAGCAGCUGCGGUUAGACAUAGAGGGCAAGCAUUGAUCAGAAUGGCUUAAAGGAUCUGUAGAACGUAUUUUAAAAUAUAUAAAAAUAUAGAAUAAUAAAAGGUAAUAAGAAUUAAAGUUAGAGGGAUAAAAUACUAAGAAAACAUUAAGACUAUAAAGAGAUUACUUAAAAUUAUUGACGUUGUGAGAUGAAGGCUACGGUAGCGACAUGGAUUCGAUACCCAUUUAGUCGUAGCAGUAAACGAUGAAUACAAUAUAAGAAUAAUUAAAAUGAAUAGUAUUCCGCCUGACUAGUACGCUCGCAAGGGUGAAAUACAAGACAUUAGACGGUUGUAGUCCCAAGCAGUGGAACAUGUCAUUUAAUUGGAUGAUCCUCCAAGAACCUUACCAUCUCUUGAAUUAUUAACAGGCGUUACAUCGUUGUCGUCAGUUCAUGCCGUGAGGUUUAAUAUUAAGUUAUUGAAUGAACGGAACCCUUUUCUUUUAGAUAAGUAUAAUUGUAAAAUUAUAGGAAGUAGAGGUUGAAGACUAAUCAUGAUGACCCUAAUGAGAUGGGCUAUCGACGUGUUACAAUAUUAAUAACAAUUAUAUUAAUUUUUUAAUUAAAUUAUAUCCUUAUUAUAUAGGGGUUUUAUUAAAUAUUAAGAAAAAGACAUAGUUUCAUUUAUGGAUUGUAAUCUGAAAUUCGGUUACAUAAAGGAGGAAUUGCUAGUAAUCGUAAACAAUAGAGUUACGGUGAAAUUUUUUGCUACUUCGUACUAACCACUCAUCAACAGCAAGAAAUUUAUUUUUUACUUAUUGAGUUCUUAUUUAAAGGACUUGCUGUAAGUUGAAAUACGGUUCGGUUAGGGGAACCUGAUCGGGAUUUAUUUAUUUA